GACGAACGCUGGCGGCGUGCCUAAUACAUGCAAGUCGAGCGAAGCGAGGACGGUGGAGUAACACGGGGAUAACCUCGUAUACCACCGGGACAACUUCGGAAAACCGGAGCUAAACCGGCUACUCAUGGAUGGCUGCUCGCUGCAGUAGCUGGUUGUUAAGGAAACGGCUUACCAAGGGCACGAUGCAUAGCCGACCUGAGAGGGUGAGCGGCCACACUGGAACUGCGACACGGUCCAGACGCCUACGGGAGGCAGCAGUAGGGAAUCUUCCGCAAUGGGCGAAAGUCUGACAGAGCAACGCCGCGUGAGUGAUGAAGGUGUUCGGAUCGUAAAACUCUGUUGUUAGUGAAGCGGGACCUAACCAGAAAGCCACGGCUAACUACGUGCCAGCAGCCGCGGUAAUUC
rnacentral:rRNA from 1 species